GUGGAUCCUCGUGAACCCACCCCUUUGAUUGGCUCUUUUUCCAGCCCUGUCUUUCAUUUCCCUACCAGUGGCUCCCGAGAGCAUUUCUUCAUUCAACAAGAAUACUUGGCUUCAACUCUACUUCCAGGGACACUGAACCAUAAGGGAAACUCAGUGGCUCACCCAGCCUGUCAUUCACCACGAUGCACUUCACACUUAGCUGGCUUGGAGAACUUGGAGAACAGAGCCCAAAUACUUUUUGAGGACUUUGGGGAAAGCAGAAGGCCAGACAGGAGUACCUACAGGGGCCAAUGGAUCCAAGGAGAAAGGAAGGACCCAGCAGCUCCCUCUUGCAGUGCUGGAGACCCUGGCUCUGGUGCUCAGCCCCAGCCCCAGUCCAGCAGUGAUAUGUGAG
rnacentral:lncRNA from 1 species